rnacentral:rRNA from 1 species
AGUUUGAUCCUGGCUCAGAGUGAACGCUGGCGGCGUGCCUAAUACAUGCAAGUCGAACGAUGAAGCUUCUAGCUUGCUAGAAUGCUGAUUAGUGGCGCACGGGUGAGUAACGCAUAGGUUAUGUGCCUCUUAGUUUGGGAUAGCCAUUGGAAACGAUGAUUAAUACCAGAUACUCCCUACGGGGGAAAGAUUUAUCGCUAAGAGAUCAGCCUAUGUCCUAUCAGCUUGUUGGUAAGGUAAUGGCUUACCAAGGCUAUGACGGGUAUCCGGCCUGAGAGGGUGAACGGACACACUGGAACUGAGACACGGUCCAGACUCCUACGGGAGGCAGCAGUAGGGAAUAUUGCUCAAUGGGGGAAACCCUGAAGCAGCAACGCCGCGUGGAGGAUGAAGGUUUUAGGAUUGUAAACUCCUUUUGUUAGAGAAGAUAAUGACGGUAUCUAACGAAUAAGCACCGGCUAACUCCGUGCCAGCAGCCGCGGUAAUACGGAGGGUGCAAGCGUUACUCGGAAUCACUGGGCGUAAAGAGCGCGUAGGCGGGAUAGUCAGUCAGGUGUGAAAUCCUAUGGCUUAACCAUAGAACUGCAUUUGAAACUACUAUUCUAGAGUGUGGGAGAGGUAGGUGGAAUUCUUGGUGUAGGGGUAAAAUCCGUAGAGAUCAAGAGGAAUACUCAUUGCGAAGGCGACCUGCUGGAACAUUACUGACGCUGAUUGCGCGAAAGCGUGGGGAGCAAACAGGAUUAGAUACCCUGGUAGUCCACGCCCUAAACGAUGGAUGCUAGUUGUUGGAGGGCUUAGUCUCUCCAGUAAUGCAGCUAACGCAUUAAGCAUCCCGCCUGGGGAGUACGGUCGCAAGAUUAAAACUCAAAGGAAUAGACGGGGACCCGCACAAGCGGUGGAGCAUGUGGUUUAAUUCGAAGAUACACGAAGAACCUUACCUAGGCUUGACAUUGAGAGAAUCCGCUAGAAAUAGUGGAGUGUCUGGCUUGCCAGACCUUGAAAACAGGUGCUGCACGGCUGUCGUCAGCUCGUGUCGUGAGAUGUUGGGUUAAGUCCCGCAACGAGCGCAACCCCCUUUCUUAGUUGCUAACAGGUCAUGCUGAGAACUCUAAGGAUACUGCCUCCGUAAGGAGGAGGAAGGUGGGGACGACGUCAAGUCAUCAUGGCCCUUACGCCUAGGGCUACACACGUGCUACAAUGGGGUGCACAAAGAGAAGCAAUACUGCGAAGUGGAGCCAAUCUUCAAAACACCUCUCAGUUCGGAUUGUAGGCUGCAACUCGCCUGCAUGAAGCUGGAAUCGCUAGUAAUCGCAAAUCAGCCAUGUUGCGGUGAAUACGUUCCCGGGUCUUGUACUCACCGCCCGUCACACCAUGGGAGUUGUGUUUGCCUUAAGUCAGGAUGCUAAAUUAGCUACUGCCCACGGCACACACAGCGACUGGGGUGAAGUCGUAACAAGGUAACCGUAGGUGAACCUGC